GGUUGGAACUGGCGGCCUUGAGUCGGCAAGAGGCGCGUGGAAUUCGUGGUGUAGCGGUGAAAUGCAUAGAUAUCACGAGGAACUCCGAUUGCGAAGGCAGCGCGCUGGGGCCGUACUGACGCUGAUGCUCGAAGGCGCGGGUAUCAAACAGGAUUAGAUACCCCUGGUAGUCCGCGCGGUAAACUAUGGACGCUCGCGGUGCGGGAUAUUAUCUUACGCCGCCUAGCGAAAGCGUUAAGCGUCCCACCUGGGGAGUACGCCGGCAACGGUGAAACUCAAAGGAAUUGACGGGGGCCCGCACAAGCGGAGGAACAUGUGGUUUAAUUCGAUGAUACGCGAGGAACCUUACCCGGGCUUGAAAUGUGCAUGACUGCGGACAGAGACGUCCGCUUCCUUCGGGCAUGCAUGUAGGUGCUGCAUGGUUGUCGUCAGCUCGUGCCGUGAGGUGUCGGCUUAAGUGCCAUAACGAGCGCAACCCUUACCGCCGGUUACCAUCGGGUGAUGCCGGGGACUCCGGCGGCACUGCCAUCGCAAGAUGCGAGGAAGGUGGGGAUGACGUCAAAUCAGCACGGCCCUUACGUCCGGGGCUACACACGUGUUACAAUGGGGGGUACAGAAAGUCGGUCUGUGGCGACACAGAUCCAAUCCUCAAAACCCCUCUCAGUUCGGACUGGAGUCUGCAACCCGACUCCACGAAGCUGGAUUCGCUAGUAAUCGCGCAUCAGCCAUGGCGCGGUGAAUACGUUCCCGGGCCUUGUACACAC
rnacentral:rRNA from 1 species